rnacentral:rRNA from 1 species
GAUGAACGCUGGCGGCGUGCCUAAUACAUGCAAGUCGAGCGAACAGACGAGGAGCUUGCUCCUCUGACGUUAUCGGCGGAGGGGUGAGUAACACGUGGAUAACCUACCUAUAAGACUGGGAUAACUUCGGGAAACCGGAGCUAAUACCGGAUAAUAUAUUGAACCGCAUGGUUCAAUAGUGAAAGACGGUUUUGCUGUUACUUAUAGAUGGAUCCCCGCCUCAUUAGCUAGUUGGUAAGGUAACGGCUUACCAAGGCAACGUAGAGUAGCCGACCUGAGAGGGGGAUCGACAAACUGGGAAUUGGAACACGGUCAGGAUUCCUAGGGGAGGAGCCAGAAGGAAACUUCCGCAAUGGGGGGAAGUCCUGCCGGGCAAACGCGCGUGGGUGAAGAAAGGUUUUCGGAUCUAAAGACUUUGUUAAUAAGGAAGAAGAAAGUGGGAAUGAACAGUGCACGCCUUGACGGUACCUUACCAGAAAGCCACGGCUAACUACGUG